rnacentral:misc_RNA from 1 species
GAAAUGCGAUACGUAAUGUGAAUUGCAGAAUUCAGUGAAUCAUCGAAUCUUUGAACGCAUAUUGCGCUCUCUGGUAUUCCGGAGAGCAUGCUUGUUUGAGUAUCAGUAAACACCUCAACUUCCAUAUCUUUUUUGAAAUGGGAGUUGGACUUGAGUGAUCCCAACGCUUUUCCUUACCGAAAAGUGGCGGGUUACUUGAAAUGCAGGUGCAGCUGGACUUUUCUCUGAGCUAUAAGCAUAUCUAUUUAGUCUGCCUAAAAAACAGAUUAUUACCUUUGCUGCAGCUAACAUAAAGGAGAUUAGUUCUUGUGCUGACUGAUGCAGGAUUCACAAAGACAGGCUUCGGCCGACUUUGUAAACUCGAUCUCAAAUCAAGUAAGACUACCCGCUGAACUUAA